CAGUAGCCGCGGUAAUACGAAGGGUGCAAGCGUUACUCGGAAUUACUGGGCGUAAAGCGUGCGUAGGUGGUGGUUUAAGUCCGUUGUGAAAGCCCUGGGCUCAACCUGGGAAUUGCAGUGGAUACUGGGUCACUAGAGUGUGGUAGAGGAUAGUGGAAUUUCCGGUGUAGCAGUGAAAUGCGUAGAGAUCGGAAGGAACAUCUGUGGCGAAGGCGACUAUCUGGGCCAACACUGACACUGAGGCACGAAAGCGUGGGGAGCAAACAGGAUUAGAUACCCGGGUAGUCCCUGUCUCUUAUAU
rnacentral:rRNA from 1 species